UGCAGUCGAACGGGUGUAGCAAUACAUCCGUGGCGAACGGGUGCGUAACACGUGGAUAACCUUCCUUCAGGUGGGGAAUAACCCAGUGAAAAUUGGGCUAAUACCGCAUAACAAGACGAGGGCACAUGCUUUUGUCUUCAAAGCAGCAAUGCGCCAGAAGAGGGAUCCGCGGCCGAUUAGCUUGUUGGCGAGGUAAUGGCUCACCAAGGCAAUGAUCGGUAGCCGGACUGAGAGGUUGGCCGGCCACACUGGAACUGAGACACGGUCCAGACUCCUACGGGAGGCAGCAGUGGGGAAUCUUGCACAAUGGGCGAAAGCCUGAUGCAGCAACGCCGCGUGGGGGAUGAAGCUUCUCGGAGUGUAAACCCCUUUCGACCCGGAAGAAUGUCCGCAAGGACUUGACGGUACGGGUAUAAGAAGCCCCGGCUAACUACGUGCCAGCAGCCGCGGUAAUACGUAGGGGGCCAGCGUUGCUCGGAAUUACUGGGCGUAAAGGGUCCGUAGGCGGUGUGGCAAGUCGGGAGUGAAAUCUCUGGGCUUAACCCAGAGGCUGCUUCCGAAACUGCAGUGCUAGAGUGUGAGAGAGGCGAGUGGAAUUGCGGGUGUAGCGGUGAAAUGCGUAGAUAUCCGCAGGAACAUCCGAGGCGAAAGCGGCUCGCUGGAUCACAACUGACGCUGAGGGACGAAAGCUAGGGGAGCAAACAGGAUUAGAUACCCUGGUAGUCCUAGCCCUAAACCAUCAGGACUUUGGGGUUUGCCCUGUACGGGGCAAGUCCCGUAGCUACGCGUUAAGUCCUGCGCCUGGGGAGUACGGUCGCAAGACUGAAACUCAAAGGAAUUGACGGGGGCCCGCACAAGCGGUGGAACAUG
rnacentral:rRNA from 1 species